rnacentral:sRNA from 1 species
GAAAAAAAGUAUAACUUAUUUGUAAAGUGCUAUCAUUCUGAGGUAUAAAUAUCUUGAAAAAGUUCCUGGGGAGUGGUAACAAUCGGAACGAUUCUUGACUAACGCAUUAAAUUUCACGUGUUAGAGAGUUUGUGAUUCAGACUAUACAUAAUACAGUAUAUGAGCGGGUUUUU